UAGCUAGUUGGUGAGGUAAAGGCUUACCAAGGCGACGAUCUGAAGCGGGUCUGAGAGGAUGAUCCGCCACACUGGAACUGAGACACGGUCCAGACUCCUACGGGAGGCAGCAGUGGGGAAUUUUGGACAAUGGGGGCAACCCUGAUCCAGCCAUGCCGCGUGAGUGAAGAAGGCCUUCGGGUUGUAAAGCUCUUUCGGCCGGGAAGAAAUCGCAUGGGCCAAUACCCUGUGUGGAUGACGGUACCGGAAUAAGAAGCACCGGCUAACUACGUGCCAGCAGCCGCGGUAAUACGUAGGGUGCGAGCGUUAAUCGGAAUUACUGGGCGUAAAGCGUGCGCAGGCGGUUUUGUAAGACAGGCGUGAAAUCCCCGGGCUUAACCUGGGAACUGCGUUUGUGACUGCAAGGCUAGAGUACGGCAGAGGGGGGUGGAAUUCCACGUGUAGCAGUGAAAUGCGUAGAGAUGUGGAGGAACACCAAUGGCGAAGGCAGCCCCCUGGGUCGAUACUGACGCUCAUGCACGAAAGCGUGGGUAGCAAACAGGAUUAGAUACCCUGGUAGUCCACGCCCUAAACUAUGUCAACUAGGUGUUGGGUGGGUAAAACCAUUUAGUACCGUAGCUAACGCGUGAAGUUGACCGCCUGGGGAGUACGGCCGCAAGGUUAAAACUCAAAGGAAUUGACGGGGACCCGCACAAGCGGUGGAUGAUGUGGAUUAAUUCGAUGCAACGCGAAAAACCUUACCUACCCUUGACAUGCCAGGAACUUGCCAGAGAUGGCUUGGUGCCCGAAAGGGAGCCUGGACACAGGUGCUGCAUGGCUGUCGUCAGCUCGUGUCGUGAGAUGUUGGGUUAAGUCCCGCAACGAGCGCAACCCUUGUCGUUAAUUGCCAUCAUUUAGUUGGGCACUUUAACGAGACUGCCGGUGACAAACCGGAGGAAGGUGGGGAUGACGUCAAGUCCUCAUGGCCCUUAUGGGUAGGGCUUCACACGUCAUACAAUGGUCGGUACAAAGGGUUGCCAAGCCGCGAGGCGGAGCCAAUCCCAGAAAGCCGAUCGUAGUCCGGAUUGCAGGCUGCAACUCGCCUGCAUGAAGUCGGAAUCGCUAGUAAUCGUGGAUCAGCAUGUCACGGUGAAUACGUUCCCGGGUCUUGUACACACCGCCCGUCACACCAUGGGAGCGGGUUCCGCCAGAAGUAGGUAGCCUAACCGCAAGGGAGGCGCUUACCACGGCGGGGUUCGUGACUGGGGUGAAGUCGUAACAAGGUAGCCGUAGGGGAACCUGCGGCUG
rnacentral:rRNA from 1 species